rnacentral:rRNA from 1 species
AGUGAACGCUGGCGGCGUGCUUAACACAUGCAAGUCGAACGAGAACGGAUUAUAGCUUGCUAUAAUUGUCAGCUAAGUGGCGCACGGGUGAGUAAUGUAUAGGUAAUAUGCCUCUUACUAAGGGAUAACAAAUGGAAACGUUUGCUAAUACCUUAUACUCCUUAUUAACAUAAGUUAAUAUGGGAAAGAUUUAUUGGUAAGAGAUUAGCCUGUAUUGUAUCAGUUAGUUGGUGGGGUAAUGGCUUACCAAGACUAUGACACAUAACUGGUUUGAGAGGAUGAUCAGUCACACUGGAACUGAGACACGGUCCAGACUCCUACGGGAGGCAGCAGUGGGGAAUAUUGCACAAUGGACGAAAGUCUGACGCAGCAACGCCGCGUGGAGGAUGACACAUUUCGGUGCGUAAACUCCUUUUAUAUGAGAAGAUAAUGACGGUAUUAUAUGAAUAAGCACCGGCUAACUCCGUGCCAGCCGCCGCGGUAA